rnacentral:misc_RNA from 1 species
GAUGAAGAACGCAGCGAAAUGCGAUAAGUAAUGUGAAUUGCAGAAUUCAGUGAAUCAUCGAAUCUUUGAACGCACAUUGCGCCCGCCAGUAUUCUGGCGGGCAUGCCUGUCCGAGCGUCAUUUCAACCCUCGAACCCCUCCGGGGGGUCGGCGUUGGGGACCUCGGGAGCCCCUAAGACGGGAUCCCGGCCCCGAAAUACAGUGGCGGUCUCGCCGCAGCCUCUCCUGCGCAGUAGUUUGCACAACUCGCACCGGGAGCGCGGCGCGUCCACGUCCGUAAAACACCCAACUUCUGAAAUGUUGACCUCGGAUCAGGUAGGAAUACCCGCUGAACUUAAGCAUAUCAAUAAGCGGAGGA